CUGGGAUUCUUUCCCAUUUUCACUUUCUGCAGCCUCUUGUUCUUAUCUGAAAGAAAAAUGAAGAGAUUUGCUGCAAUUCUUGCUUUACUGGGAGUCUUUUGGACUCAGACUUCUGCGUUAGAAACCUAUUACCUGCCAGUACCUGGCAACGAUUAUGUCACUGCAACUAUGACUAUCGACAACGAGAAGAACUUAGCUGAUGUCCAUGUCCGUUCUGGGGCGUACUCCUCUGAUACCAUUUUUGACUACCAGCAUGGAUAUAUUGCAACAAGGAUGUUUUCAAGGAAUGCUUGCUUUAUUCUGAAAAUAGAGAAAGGUUCCAUCCCAGAGCUGCAAGAAAUUGGACGCCUGGCUUUUGAGAAACAGACUUUGAAGAAAAUAUACUCUCCAAAUGAUGUGUGGGUACUGUAUGAACCCGGCAAUUCGAUAUUAGCGAAUAUAAAGGAAUGGUUUCUCUAUGGUAAAGCCAUUGAGAAUCUCUGCAGAGAUCUGCCUAUCUACAAGCUUGUAAAGACUCAAGAAAAGGGAGGCAGCAAAGGAUGAAAACUAAAUCUGACAAACAUGAGUCACACACCGAUUGCGAGCACAGUGACAUCCGAAAUUGGAACAGAGAGCUGCUGGGAACGGCCCAUUUAUGGAAAGGAAAUCCAGAGCAACCAUGAACCAAGGCAUACAACGGUAUGGACUACUGAGCCAAAAUCCAUCUGACUGAAUUCACAUGUGGAGAAACUACACGUGGACUUCUUAUACCUAACUAGCAAACUUUCAUUUUCUUCACUGAGGAACUGUUUAUGUCCAAAAAGUCCAGGACAAGCAAACAUUAGUCACUCUCCUGGAGAAGGUUUCUUGUCCCAAUCUGUUCUGAGUGUGUUAAUGA